UACGUAGGUGGCAAGCGUUAUCCUGAUUUAUUGGGCGUAAAGGGAACGCAGGCGGUCUUUUAAGUCUGAUGUGAAAGCCUUCGGCUUAACCGGAGUAGUGCAUUGGAAACUGGGAGACUUGAGUGCAGAAGAGGAGAGUGGAACUCCAUGUGUAGCGGUGAAAUGCGUAGAUAUAUGGAAGAACACCAGUGGCGAAAGCGGCUCUCUGGUCUGUAACUGACGCUGAGGUUCGAAAGCGUGGGUAGCAAACAGG
rnacentral:rRNA from 1 species